UGAAUACCUUCAACGUGGAGGUCCAGAAUAAGUGUAGAAGACAGUUUGCUGGCCACUGCUGAAGAAUGAAGUACUAUAUUCACAAUAAAGGCAUUUCCUUAAUAUUAAAAA